CAGGAGACCUAAGUUUAGUCUACUAAGACCCUUCCUUGUGUCCUUGGAUCACUGGCCUGAGUCCAGAGAAUUCUGAGCCCUGCAGCCCUUUCUGCCUGGAGGGGAACCGAGCAGGGAGGGAGCUGCACCAAACAUGCGCCCUCUGCUCCUUAGAGGCCUGAUGCUCCCUUCAGUUUACUCUGGCUUGACAGCUCCAUUUCAACCCCCACCUUGGAGAUGAGGCAGCUCAAUAUUUACUCAGCCAGAGAGGUUUGUCCAGAAGCCUGCCUCCCCAGCCUCCUCCUGUUGGCUCUGCUCUGUUGCCCCCACCCCCUUCCUUCCCGGUUCAUAGAGAGUUCAGCCCUGCAAUGGCUUGCAGCCCCCUCCACUCCCCAGCCCUGACAGAGCCGCCUGUCGGGGGACUGCUGAGGCCAGAAGAGCGGGGGAAGGGCACCAGUCAGUCGUGGGGUCAUGUCCUGGUCUCUCCACCCUUACUGGACCAGCAGCCUAGGCCUCUAGAAGAAGAGAAGACUCAGCAAAUGAUUGUCUUUUGGGGGAAGAGUGCGUGGAGAUUGGCUAAAAUGGAACUGUGGGGUUGGGGACAUGAUCCAGGACUGUAAAAGCUUCACAUAGCUGUGUGCAAUAUUAUAAACCAUGGUUUAUGGUAGAGAAACUUGGUAAAUUUGUAACAGUCUGAACUCUUUCCAAAGACACGAAAAGAGCUAAUACAAUAAAUAAGUGACACUUG
rnacentral:lncRNA from 1 species